rnacentral:rRNA from 1 species
AUUGAACGCUGGCGGCAGGCUUAACACAUGCAAGUCGAGCGGGGUGAAGUGCUUCGGUACUGAUCCUAGCGGCGGACGGGUGAGUAAUGCUUAGGAAUCUGCCAUUUAGUGGGGGACAACAUUCCGAAAGGAAUGCUAAUACCGCAUACGUCCUACGGGAGAAAGCAGGGGAUCUUCGGACCUUGCGCUAAAUGAUGAGCCUAAGUCGGAUUAGCUAGUUGGUGGGGUAAAGGCCUACCAAGGCGACGAUCUGUAGCGGGUCUGAGAGGAUGAUCCGCCACACUGGGACUGAGACACGGCCCAGACGCCUACGGGAGGCAGCAGUGGGGAAUAUUGGACAAUGGGCGGAAGCCUGAUCCAGCCAUGCCGCGUGUGUGAAGAAGGCCUUUUGGUUGUAAAGCACUUUAAGCGAGGAGGAGGUUACCUAGAUUAAUACUCUGGGAUAGUGGACGUUACUCGCAGAAUAAGCACCGGCUAACUCUGUGCCAGCCGCCGCCGGAAAAC